CUGAGAUCAAGAGUUGGAUGCCUAACCGGCAGAGCCACCCAGAUAUCAAACAGAAGCACAAGGUUGUUGAGAGUAUGAAGAAAGAGAAUUCUUGCUGUGUAGGAGACAUAUAUGGCAUCUUCAGUAAAUGAAAUUCGGACUAUACGCAGAAGAUUGAAUUCCUACAAAGGUCAUUUAACUGCAGAAGACAGAGCCCAUACUUCACAUCAUAGAGCUAUGGAGAAUGCAAUGUCAUACACAGAAUUGGUUUUCUGGCAUAAAAUGUAAGAGAGCUUGAGGAUAAAACCUAGAUAAUAAGUUUUAUUUGGCACCAACAUUUUAACAUCGGAUCUUAAGAGGCCACCAAAACUAGGAGACAGAGAAAGCAAUUCUUCAGUGGCCAAUGGAGCUGCUUUAAGAAGCACCAGAUCUUUCUUCAUCUCCUGCUGAAUUCAAGACAGUCUCUCAGUGUACUUUUUUGCAGGGUAAAAUGUUCUGUAAUUGGAGAUGCUACUAUGAUAGUUUUCGAAGUGAGAUUAACAGGUGAGACACAUCAAGACGCUUGUUAAAUUUUAAGGGCAAAUUCCUUUACCCCUUUAUCAGCAGUAAAACCUUCCCAGAUGAUUCUUAAGCACAUCCAACUUUGAGACCUCCUGUGGUUAGGGUUGCAAAGUGUGAUCUAAAGUGAUUGCUCUGUUCCUUUAAAUAUUGAAAGUUAUAUAUUGGAGGAAAUAGGCAUGGUUAAACAAAUAUUUCAUUUAAAAAAUAAAAAGUUUUAUUAUUUUUCUUGGUAGAAAAAUGGUAUAUGUUCAUUGUAAAAAAACAAGUGUUUUUUUGGAAAAUACAAAGAAAGUAUUUUAUACACUCUUUAGAUUAUGAUAUUAACUCUUUGCAAAUCAUGUUUGUUGCAAUUAUUUUUCUGUUCGUCAUUUGCUUUUUUUUAUUACAGGGAUUUUACAUUUUUUUAAUGAAA